rnacentral:lncRNA from 1 species
AGUGUGUCACAAUCAACAGAUCAACAAUCAGAACAAUCAUCAGAUACACAGACAAAGUGCAAUAAAAGUGAGGAGGGAAGGAGAAAAGAAACUCCCUGAGUCAGCUGGGAGGGUAGGUGGGGUAGACCAAAGACGUCUCCUCCACCACUGCAUCCAACAAAGAAGGAUUGCUGAGGAAAGGCUUCAGUCUAUGCCCGUUCACCUUGAAGCUAGUAGCUGCAGAUGGAUCCUGUACCAUAAGGAUAAACAUUAGUCACAACAAAAGGUCCAGUCCACUUUGAUCUCAACUUACCACCCAUGAGGCCGAGCCUAGAGUUAUACAACAAAACCUG